CUCAAAAAGCACUUUUCACUCCAAAGCAUUGCUAAACAAACACUGGUUGAGUGAGAAUUUUAACUUAAAAAAAGUGUUUUUCUUCAUAUGGAAUUUUUUAGCUUUUCCUAAGCUAAAAGUGCUUUUAGCUGGUUAUUACAUUUUUAUCCUCCAUUAGUCUUCUCUCAAAACACACGAAAUCAGCUGGUGGAGUUUUGUUGCCCAAAUCAGCUGUCAAGUUUGAGAGGUACCUGAUGGGGAGUUAGUUUCGGUCGGUGCCGAAGUAGGAAAAGUGGAGCCUAGAAAUAAGGUUUUUUUCUCGGAUAUAAAUGCUUAUGAGGUGGAUUUAGGAACAUAUACUAGGCAUGUGUUUUGUAAAGAGAGUGACUUGCGCUGAAGUUGAUUGAAGUUUUUCUGGUCUUUUGUUUUAAGAUGAAGAAUCAAUUAUAUUUCAAAAUUGAGCAGUUGUUAUUUGCAAUUAUAAUGUUGUUUAGUUGUUGCUACAUUGAUGUUAGUAACUUAUUAGAGAUUAUAAUAAUUGUUUAAAUGUUAAGAAA